rnacentral:rRNA from 1 species
CCUACGGGGGGCAGCAGUGAGGAAUAUUGGUCAAUGGACGAGAGUCUGAACCAGCCAAGUAGCGUGAAGGAUGACUGCCCUAUGGGUUGUAAACUUCUUUUAUAUGGGAAUAAAACGUUCCACGUGUGGGAUUUUGUAUGUACCAUAUGAAUAAGGAUCGGCUAACUCCGUGCCAGCAGCCGCGGUAAUACGGAGGAUCCGAGCGUUAUCCGGAUUUAUUGGGUUUAAAGGGAGCGUAGGUGGAUUGUUAAGUCAGUUGUGAAAGUUUGCGGCUCAACCGUAAAAUUGCAGUUGAAACUGGCAGUCUUGAGUACAGUAGAGGUGUGCGGAAUUCGUGGUGUAGCGGUGAAAUGCUUAGAUAUCACGAAGAACUCCGAUUGCGAAGGCAGUUCACUGGACUGCAACUGACACUGAGGCUCGAAAGUGUGGGUAUCAAACAGGAUUAGAUACCCCUGUAGUC